rnacentral:rRNA from 1 species
GUAAUCUACCCUCGAGUGGGGAAUAACGUUCGGAAACGAACGCUAAUACCGCAUAACGCAGCGGCACCGCAAGGUGACAGUUGUUAAAGGAGUAAUUCGCUUGAGGAGGAGCUUGCGGCAGAUUAGCUUGUUGGUAAGGUAACGGCUUACCAAGGCUACGAUCUGUAUCCGGUCUAAGAGGACGGUCGGACACACUGACACUGAAUAACGGGUCAGACUCCUACGGGAGGCAGCAGUCGGGAAUUUUGGGCAAUGGGCGAAAGCCUGACCCAGCAACGCCGCGUGAAGGAUGAAGUAUUUCGGUAUGUAAACUUCGAAAGAAUAGGAAGAAUAAAUGACGGUACUAUUUAUAAGCUCCGGCUAACUACGUGCCAGCAGCCGCGGUAAUACGUAGGGAGCAAGCGUUGUUCGGAUUUACUGGGCGUAAAGGGCGCGUAGGCGGCGCGGUAAGUCACUUGUGAAAUCUCUGAGCUUAACUCAGAACGGCCAAGUGAUACUGCAGUGCUAGAGUGUAGAAGGGGCAAUCGGAAUUCUUGGUGUAGCGGUGAAA